AUUGAACGCUGGCGGCAGGCCUAACACAUGCAAGUCGAGCGAAUGAAGGGAGCUUGCUCCUGGAUUCAGCGGCGGACGGGUGAGUAAUGCCUAGGAAUCUGCCUGGUAGUGGGGGAUAACGUCCGGAAACGGGCGCUAAUACCGCAUACGUCCUGCGGGAGACAGGGGGGGAUCUUCGGACCUCACGCUAUCAGAUGAGCCUAGGUCGCAUUAGCUAGUUGGUGGGGUAAAGGCCUACCAAGGCGACGAUCCGUAACUGGUCUGAGAGGAUGAUCAGUCACACUAGAACUGGGACACGGUCCAUGCUCCUACGGGAGGGAGCAGUGGGGAAUGUUGGGCAAAGGGCGGAAGCCUGAUCCAGCCAUGGCGCGUGUGUGAAAAAGGUCUUCGGAUUGUAAAGCACUUUAAGUUGGGAGGAAGGGCAGUAAGUUAAUAACUUGCUGUUUUGACGUUACCAACAGAAUAAGCACCGGCUAACUUCGUG
rnacentral:rRNA from 1 species